rnacentral:rRNA from 1 species
AUGCUUCAAGAUGUCAAUAGCCAGCUGAACAGCGUGACGCAGCAUGUGGGUACAAUGGCAACUUCAUUCACAGCAGCACUGGUGCGAGAAGCAGCACAAGAGGACCCUCAACAGAAAUCAAGAGAAAAGGCCAUUGGUGAAUUGAGUAGGCUUUCCUUCACGGGGAGCGAGAUUGUUGAGGCUGCAACCAUAUUUGCUAAAGCUCCAGAGCACAUGAACAUGAUGCUUGUGCUACCAGAAGUUCUGAGGAGGGACUUCAUCCUUAAAAUGCUAUCUGAUGAGAGGAAGAAAGGUUGA